CUUGGAGGCCUAACACAUGCAAGUCGAGCGGAAGAGAGGAGCUUGCUCCUCUAGACAGCGGCGGACGGGUGAGUAAUGCCUAGGAAUCUGCCUGGUAGUGGGGGAUAACGUUCGGAAACGGACGCUAAUACCGCAUACGUCCUACGGGAGAAAGCAGGGGACCUUCGGGCCUUGCGCUAUCAGAUGAGCCUAGGUCGGAUUAGCUAGUUGGUGGGGUAAUGGCUCACCAAGGCGACGAUCCGUAACUGGUCUGAGAGGAUGAUCAGUCACACUGGAACUGAGACACGGUCCAUACUCCUACGGGAGGCAGCAGUGGGAG
rnacentral:rRNA from 1 species